GUUAGUAUUAAGUCUAUUUUGAAAAUAAACAAAGGUUAUACAACCUACUAAUU
rnacentral:tRNA from 1 species